CCAUAACAUAGGUAGGGAUAUCAGCACCUUUGGCUGGUGCAGUGAUGAUCACUUUCGAGGCUCCAGCUUGGAUGUGUUUCCCUGCUCCUGGCCCAUCAACGAACACUCCUGUUCCCUGAUGAUAACAACAUUUAUCUUUUUCGGUUAACUAAGGCGCGAGUUUGCCAUCAUAAAAAAUGCAAAGCUUUAGAUAGGAAAAAUGAAUUUCACCUCGAUGACAAUGUCAAUGCCGAGCUCAGCCCAUGGAAGCUUAAGAGGGUCUCUGUUUGAGACAACUUUGAUGUUCUUACCAUCAACACUGAUAGUUUCAUUAUCCACAAUUUUCACUUCAGCCUUGAAGGUUCCAAGCAUAGAGUCAUACUUGAGCAAGUGGGAU
rnacentral:lncRNA from 1 species